rnacentral:rRNA from 1 species
GACGAACGCUGGCGGCGUGCCUAAUACAUGCCAGUAGAACGCUGAAGGAGGAGCUUGCUUCUCUGGAUGAGUUGCGAACGGGUGAGUAACGCGUAGGUAACCUGCCUGGUAGCGGGGGAUAACUAUUGGAAACGAUAGCUAAUACCGCAUAACAGUAGAUAUCGCAUGAUAUCUACUUGAAAGGUGCAAUUGCAUCACUACCAGAUGGACCUGCGUUGUAUUAGCUAGUUGGUGAGGUAACGGCUCACCAAGGCGACGAUACAUAGCCGACCUGAGAGGGGGAUCGGCCACACUGGGACUGAGACACGGCCCAGACUCCUACGGGAGGCAGCAGUAGGGAAUCUUCGGCAAGGGACGGAAGUCUGACCGAGCAACGCCGCGUGAGUGAAGAAGGUUGUCGGAUCGUAAAGCUCUGUUGUAAGAGAAGAACGAGUGUGAGAGUGGAAAGUUCACACUGUGACGGUAGCUUACCAGAAAGGGACGGCUAACUACGUG